UACGAAGGGGGCUAGCGUUGCUCGGAAUCACUGGGCGUAAAGGGCGCGUAGGCGGCCAUUCAAGUCGGGGGUGAAAGCCUGUGGCUCAACCACAGAAUUGCCUUCGAUACUGUUUGGCUUGAGUAUGGUAGAGGUUGGUGGAACUGCGAGUGUAGAGGUGAAAUUCGUAGAUAUUCGCAAGAACACCGGUGGCGAAGGCGGCCAACUGGACCAUUACUGACGCUGAGACGCGAAAGCGUGGGGAGCGAACAGG
rnacentral:rRNA from 1 species